rnacentral:rRNA from 1 species
UAGUCAUAUGCUUGUCUCAAAGAUUAAGCCAUGCAUGUCUAAGUAUAAGCAACUUGUACUGUGAAACUGCGAAUGGCUCAUUAAAUCAGUUAUCGUUUAUUUGAUAGUACCUUACUACAUGGAUACCUGUGGUAAUUCUAGAGCUAAUACAUGCUAAAAACCCCGACUCACGAAGGGGUGUAUUUAUUAGAUAAAAAACCAACGCCCUUCGGGGCUCCUUGGUGAAUCAUAAUAACUUAACGAAUCGCAUGGCCUUGCGCCGGCGAUGGUUCAUUCAAAUUUCUGCCCUAUCAACUUUCGAUGGUAGGAUAGUGGCCUACCAUGGUGGCAACGGGUAACGGGGAAUUAGGGUUCGAUUCCGGAGAGGGAGCCUGAGAAACGGCUACCACAUCCAAGGAAGGCAGCAGGCGCGCAAAUUACCCAAUCCCGAUACGGGGAGGUAGUGACAAUAAAUACUGAUACGGGGCUCUUUUGGGUCUCGUAAUUGGAAUGAGAACAAUUUAAAUCCCUUAACGAGGAACAAUU